rnacentral:lncRNA from 1 species
CUGAAUAUUAAAAAAAAAAAUAGAAGAGAAUCUUUGAGAAACAGACAGACUGUUGUGUUUUUAUUCGUCAUUAACCAAUGAGUAACUUGUUUUCUUCCAAGAAGCUGUAGGUUGGUACCUCCAGGUUGUAUGGAGCAGGACCUUUCCUAAUCCUUCCAGAGAUGUCAUAAUGCGAACCAUGACACGGGCAAAACCAGCCACCGUAGUCACCAGCAUUCGGCAAAGGGAUGCAUCCCAGGUGAGUGCAGACUCCAACCACCACUAACCAUUCCGGAUUCUUGACCCUGACGGCAUCUUCUUGCGGGUCUCUCAGAGAACCGAGAUCCACACUAUUGGCCAGCUUGAUGUCAUCUUCUGUUCUUCUCCUGAUGAAGACAGGCUUUCCACGCCACUUAACCGUCACAGUAGUUCCUGGUUCGAUGCUCCCUAAGUCAACCUCGAGGGAUGCAAGGGCAAGGACGUCCUUACUUGCGGACAUGCUGACAAUGAGCUUGAGAACAAGAAGGCGGAGAACAGAGGCGUAGACAAACCUCCCACCGGAGAGGACGAAAUACGCGAAAGCACGUUUGCUAGGGUCACCAGGUGGGUAACGCUCAUGGUUAUGGUCGUCAUAGACGAUCUUUGAGUUAGGUGUCUUGACCGCCUCCACGGUGGCGGGUUCCGAACCAAAACCUACCUCGUUCCCUUGAGUAAGGACUUGAGAAGAGAAACCUGAAAAUAGCAAGAAAACAUUAAUACAUUCACAUCAAAUCAAACUUUUCGGGGUCAAAUAUUCUAUGACAAUAAAGCAACAAAAGGCAAAACUACCAAGAUGUGACACCAUUAAUAACGAGUACAUAAAAAAUGGAAUCCACCCAUUGGUAUAAGAACAGUGGAGGGAGUAAAAGAGACUCAUCGGAACAAUAUCCUACCACAGUAUCAAACAAACUCAGUGAAAACUAAACUAGUCUAAUCAAGUGAUCAGAUACUGUAUAUUACAGAAAUGCUUACAACACAACAAAAUUUCCUAAGGAAAAACUGCAACCAUAGUGAAUGAAGAAAUAAAUGGAUACAAAAGAUCAAAACUUUAGAAACCAAUAACAAGCAGCCAGAGUGAAUCACACAAAAGAUUAUACAAAAAGAGACCUAUUAAGGAACAAAGGAUAAUCUCAUUUGGUAUUCGAUCAAUUAACUCAAAAGUCCAUUCCUUUCUACAAGAAAGAAGGCAAAACUAUCCAGGCAAGGAGAAGACAUCAAUCUCUAAUUCAUGGGGAAUCAAAACCUAUAACACGUCCGUUCUAGUUCAUUCCGGAACUCAUUCAUAUAAGCAAACAUAAAAAAUCGAAGCUUUUUGAUAGCAUUCAAAUCAACACCUGAAAUGAAAACUAAAAUCAAUCCAGAGAACAGGGGAGGGGGGCAGACCUCUUACAAGGUGGUAAGAACCGAAACGAGAAAGGUCAGGUGAGGGGACAGAUCUGGUGGCGGAAGAGGAGGAGUCGCCGCCGCCAUCGGAGAGGGUAUGGUCUCGGGAGAGGGCGAAGGAGGUCGCAUUCGUAGAUCUCUGCGAAACAGAGAAAAGCCUCCUCCCUGCUACUCGCAGCAUCUCUGCUCUCAGGGUUACGCUCUAGCGAGAACAGAGUCCUAAAGGUUAAGGACACGGCCGAUGCAACAGGGGAGAAGAGUUCCGUAAAAUUAGUCUUUCAUGGAAGAAAAGGUCAGCUUGAUUUUACUAUAUACUACUAUUUAAAGUUAUAUUUUUUUCCAUAUAUUUUGAAUAUUUUUGUUUAUUUGUUUUUUCAGAAGAUAUUCAACAUGAAUUUUAUUUAACAUGACAUAAAAAAAAUAGAGUUCAUGUUUAAAUAGAGUGCCAUAAAUUUAAAAAUAGAGUUCAUGUUUCUAUUUCUUUUUUUAAAGGUUUUGAAUAAAGGAAAUAUUAAUAAUUAUGUACAUUGUUAAAUUUAUGCGCAGACAAAAAUUUUAGGCAUAAAUUUUCAUAAGGAAAAUUAGAGUAAUGCAAAUAGAACCUAUUAGAUAUAAAUAUUUAGAUUGUCAAUUGUGAAAAAUAUAUUUACAACAUAAUAAUAAUUUAUUUUAUUAAAAAUAGGUAAUUCAAAUACAAAAAUUAUUUUCAAACGAUAAAGACAGAUAUAUGAACGGUGUUUUCACCGGUCAUACAAGUAACAAAAGUUUGUAUUAUUCAGGCACAACCAAGACAAUCUUUUACUUUCUGAGAGACCGAAGUGUGAGGCAAGCGAGCUUGCAGGCUAAAAUUUUAGCCGGAAUAUAUAUAAAACAAAAACAAAAACAAAAAAAACAUAUAAGUAUCUUCUGAGACACAGACACUGUGUGUAGUGCUAUUAUUCAUCAACCAAUGAGUAACUUGUUCUCUUCCAAGAAGCUGUAGGUUGGUACUUCCAGGUUAUACGGCGCAGGACCUUUCCUAAUCCUUCCAGAGAUAUCAUAAUGCGAACCAUGACACGGACAAAACCAACCACCGUAGUCACCAGCAUUCGGCAACGGGAUGCAUCCCAAGUGAGUGCAGA